rnacentral:rRNA from 1 species
UACGAAGGGGGCUAGCGUUGCUCGGAAUUACUGGGCGUAAAGGGCGCGUAGGCGGUCAGGUCAGUCCCGUGUGAAAUCCCUCGGCUCAACUGAGGAACUGCACGGGAAACUGCCUGGCUUGAGUUCGGGAGAGGGAAGCGGAAUUCCGGGUGUAGCGGUGAAAUGCGUAGAUAUCCGGAGGAACACCGGUGGCGAAGGCGGCUUCCUGGACCGACACUGACGCUGAGGCGCGAAAGCUAGGGGAGCAAACGGG